rnacentral:rRNA from 1 species
UACGGGGGGGAGCAAGCGUUGUUCGGAUUUACUGGGCGUAAAGGGCGCGUAGGCGGCCACCGCAAGUCGACUGUGAAAUCUCCGGGCUUAACCCGGAAAGGUCAGCCGAUACUGCGGGGCUAGAGUGCAGAAGGGGCAACUGGAAUUCUCGGUGUAGCGGUGAAAUGCGUAGAUAUCGAGAGGAACACCUGCGGCGAAGGCGGGUUGCUGGGGCUGACACUGACGCUGAUGUGCGAAAGCUAGGGGAGCGAACGGG